rnacentral:tRNA from 1 species
GCCUCCGUGGCACAAUUGGUUAGGUGUUCGGCUGUAAACCGAAAGGUUGGUGGUUCGAGCCCAGCCGGGGGCG